GGCCUGCUAGCUCAGUCAGUUAGAGCGUCGUGCUAAUAACGCGAAGGUCGUAGGUUCGAUCCCUGCGCAGGCCA
rnacentral:tRNA from 1 species